GGCAAAUUAAAAAAAAAACAUUGAGAUCAGUUACAAGUACAAAGCCAUUCACCAGCAUCAUGCAGAUUAAUAACAAAACGUCUUACAAUACACGUCUGAAAAGUAGAGAUUCUUAUCAAAAACUCCCCUCAUUUGACUGAUGGUGCUGAAUUUAUAAUCAUAUAAUUCUUCAUAGUUUUAUUUCUUUUAGCUUUUAAUCAGGGAGAAGCUUGAAAUUGAACAUGUUCCUGUUCUACACUACAGAGCCAUACUGAACAGAAGCUGAAAAUGUGUCUCUAGAUUUGAUUCCUGUUGCAUAUUUUUGAAAUCUAAUCACAACCCAACUCCAUUCUUAUGUUUGGACUUCAUGUUUUGUGGAAUAACCCUGUAGUAAUCUGAUUUUCUAAAUGCUUAAACCCCAAACACACACACAUUAGAACAUCAUUACCAUGCAAACUUAAGUAACUACAGUAAAUUACUAGAUUUUUAAUAGAAAACGA